UACCUCCCAGGAUCGUGUCUAGAGGAGCUAAUAUUCUGACAGCUUUGGAUAUAGGAGGGAAAGCAAGCCUGGGAGAGGUACUCAUUCCAUUCCCCACAUUCUCUAUAGCUGGUGAUUGGACGACACGCUGCAAUCAUG
rnacentral:snoRNA from 1 species